CCUGAGAGGCGGGGCGGAGGGGGCCGGGGUGGGAGAGGGGCCCCGCAGCUCCCGUGGACUCCUGGGUAGACAAGGCUGCAGGGCCAGAGACACCCCACCAUUCUUUUUCAGUUCGUCUGCCACUUGCCCCUUGCUGUAGCCAGACCAGCUCCUUCCUGCUCCCCUGUACUGCACCGGGUCCUGGAUCAGGCCUCUGCAUGCACAGGGGACAGGGAGCUUCCCUGCACGGCAUCCUCCCACCUUAAGGCCAUGGAAGAUACAGAAAGCCUGAAAAAAACUUGAGGGGAAGAGCCUUUCACAGACAACUUCCAUCGGUUUCCAGAAAAUUCUAUUACCUGGCCCAAGAGUGACCAAGCACCUGAAGCCUCACCUUGAGAUUCACCCUCCUGUCGAGCGGCACCUGCCCUAACAGAGCAAAGCUGACUGCACCUCGACUAUCCUCCAGUUUUCCAAGGGUCAAUGAAACUGUAUUUCCUGCACCACCCCCUCCCGUCCAGUUUACAAGGUAUUCCUAAAAAGCAACAGGCAACGUGUUUUUGAUUUUUUGAAGCUCAAAAAAUUAUUUGCCAGGAACACACAAAUCAUUUGUUUUACUCUCUGGUACUUGCUUAUCGACACAAGAUCGCUGGAAGAGAACAAGGGCAAGAUUAGUUUAAACACUGAUUUUUUUUUUUCUUUUUUACGGCCAUGGGGUUCCUGACCUCAGAACUUGUAGUUGGUUACAUACUAGUUAAAUAUUACCAUUUUGAACAAAACAAAACAAAAAAAAAACCCCAGAUAUUCCUUCGGCGAAAAAACCUGGUGACUCUUCCUGAGCGACGUUUAUGUCAAGUGGAAGACGGUUCUAAUUUUAUCUGCGUUCAAUAAGCAGAUUAAAACAAAUCAUGAGGCUGAAGCUGUUUACAAUUCUCUGAGCGGCUGAGGGAGAGAAAAUCACCUUGAAUCUAGCAUUUUCUGGGCACACUGCAACAGCCAGGUCCCUCAGACCAUCUGGGAAGGAAUUAAUUCCAUCUAUGUGUUAGUUUAAUAUGUAAUUGUUUUAUUUUGACUAUAUCUUCCUUCAGGCUAUUAGGGAGGAGAAGAAAAAAACAGGAGAGCUGGAGAGAGACCACUUCCUUCCCAGCCUCUUCUUGCUUUGUGCUUUUGCCUUUUAAAGGUUUUACUUCUUCUGGUUGAAAAAUGCAUAAAAUGUGUACUUGAGGUACCCCCCCCCCAAAUUAUAUAUUUUGAACACGACAAAAUUUUAGAUCC